rnacentral:rRNA from 1 species
UACGGGGGGGGCAAGCGUUGUUCAGAAUUACUGGGCGUAAAGGGCUCGUAGGCGGCCAACUAAGUCAGACGUGAAAUCCCUCGGCUUAACCGGGGAACUGCGUCUGAUACUGGAUGGCUUGAAUCCGGGAGAGGGAUGCGGAAUUCCAGGUGUAGCGGUGAAAUGCGUAGAUAUCUGGAGGAACACCGGUGGCGAAGGCGGCAUCCUGGACCGGCAUUGACGCUGAGGAGCGAAAGCCAGGGGAGCAAACGGG